rnacentral:lncRNA from 1 species
UAACUUUCAUGAUCUUUAAUGUGAUUUAGCUUAGCUUCUUUAUUUAUUACUAAUAAGAUUACUCACACGAUGCUGGGAUUAAUAUCGAUGCAUAGAAUUAAAUUUAAAUUUAUUAUUAUAUUUUUUAAGUUUAAUUAAUAUAUAAAAUUUAAUUUAAUUUUUAUUAAUGUUACAUAUUUAAUUAAAAUAAAUUAUAUGAAAUGCAAAUAAGUAUAUUUUUUGUUAUAUAAGAAAACCAAUAUAGAUAAACACUGAUUACUAAAAAUGAUAAUACAAUUAAUGGUCUUAAAACACAUUGUGCAUGUUAUUUUCCAAGCUCGACAGUUCUUUUAAAAAUAUUCGUCUAGAAUAAACUCUUGCCCACAAAAAUAUAGAGAUUACACAGAUCUUCAUGAAAUAUAGCAUCUUAAACAUAAAAGAAAGAGCUAAAAAACAUAUAAAUGUAAAAGACCUAAAUAGAACUUAAAUGUUAUCCUUUAUUUCUGACCUAAAAACAGAAAUAGAACAUAAACAUAUGAUAACAUGAUUCAAUGAAUCUGCAGUCUUGCGGGUUCUUUUUUAUUCUUCCUUUGUAAGUUUCUAUUAUCACAUUCAGUUCUAAAAUAAUUGCAUUAUGUUUCUCCUUGUUUUUCACUGCCACUUCUAAAAUCCAACAAAUAAAUCUAUGUUACCAAAAUUUUAUAUCUCGCACAAAUAAAUAAUUGCAUAAAGAAUAUUUUUUUUUAAUUAUAAUACAUGAAAAUAAAAUGGUUUAUUUGUCCAGCAAGAAAUUACUGUGUUCAAUUAAAUCACACGUAUUAGCACAUAUCUUCUCAGAAGAUUCCAGAGGAGUUUGAAGCUUUCCUUGCUCAUUAAGAUGAGCUUCAUCUCUUUUCUAGAACCAUUUAAUACAAACUUUAAAGCUAUUAUUAGGGCCAGAGCUUCUCUCAAGUCAAUCUUUAACAACAAAUACUCGACCAGCUCUUACAAUACCAUCGGAACAAUAGUCUUACCUACAGUGGAAUAACAGCUAGAGUCAAAUAAGCAAAUUUCAACAUAAACACCAAGUUAUAGACUAUUAGUGACAUACUUAUCCCAAAACAAAGAACUUGAGAAACAACUUUUUUUUUUUGUUGCAUGUCAUAUGUCCACAUAUGAUUGGGAGCUAGCAGUAAGAAAAUAUCAAAUUGAUUCUUUUAAGGGCAUUGUCUAAAUUUAUAGGAUUUAUAAUGCCUAAGAUUGUAAAUGAGAUUGGGAGCCUUAUGGCAUGCAUUACUCGGUGGUUUAAAUUCUAAAAAGACCUCAAAAAACUCACAGCAAUGGCACACACAUACACAAAAAUAUAAAAAAUAUGCUUUCAUAUAUUUAUCCAAUGUAUCGAGUAUCAUUAAUAAUAAGAAAUAUCAAUAAAAAAUACAUCUAACAUCUGAUGAAAUCAGGAUAAACAAAUAACUAACAGAGAAUUAGAACAUACAUGUAUGGACAUUGUAAUAUAUAAUCAACUAAAUGGGAAUACAAACUUAUUAUGAUGUAGUUCAAGGAUAAGCAAAAUAUAAUUUAAAUUAAAAAGACACUUUAAUUGUUGCUAAUAUAACGAAUCUGAAAACUCUCUAUAAAGCAGAUUUCAUGUUUUACUGAAAAUGCCUAGAAAAGAAUCCAGUGGAACAAUGCAGAAGUUAGAUGACUUACAAUUUUAAAUAGCACAUGCAUUGGGAGAUAGAUGCAUAAGAGCAUAGAUCAAAAAACAAAUCAUUGUUAAGGAAUAAAACAUGCAAAUUAAGAGAAUCACAUAGUCAUAGAACUCAUGCAAUUAAAGAUAUUAAGAAAAAAAAAUAGACAAAAUACCAACAGAAGCCUUUGGGACAGGAUCAAACAAUUUCAACAUUAAAAUACCAAUCAAACCACCUAAGCCAAUCAUCUUAAAGUAAAAGAAACUGGAUCCUGCGAAAUGUUAACAAACCCAUAAGAAAAACAUAGACAAAAAAAAAAAAAAAUGAAAAAUGGAUAAAAAGCAUAUAGGAAAAAAGUCAAUAAAUCAGAAACCGUAGCCAUAGAACCAUCUAGAAGUGAAUUCCGGAUGAUUUAUAGAACUAAAGAACAUGAAGGCAAAUGAAGGCCUGAGUCACCGCAUGCACUAAACGGUAGCCAGUAAGAAGAGCGAGGAUCACAAAACCUCAUAUCUAAAUGAAAUACCAAAGAGAUAGCAUUUAUGAGAAACAUAAGAGGUAAAGAAGGAUAAAUAGAAGUAUAAAAUGUCAUGAGAAGAAAUAAAAGGUUAUGAAUUAAAUAAAACACAAAUUUUUGCCCUUUUCUUGCAUUGGUUUCAUGAAGCCCAUGGACAUCGAGAACCCUAAAGACCACUCCAUUAAAAAACCAAUACCGGAAUCAUAGAACCUGUUUACAGUACGCAAAAAGAGGAGUGCCAAGAAAGCUAAACGGAAAACAUGGCUCAAGCAACAGAUGCAACGAUUUCUUCCAUAAAAAAAAUGCAAGAGGAAAACCUAAAAACCACCUUAUUGAAUUUUUUGCCUUUGACAUAGCAAAUAAAUCGCAAGAACCGUUCGCAUUAUGAAAUAAUCAUAGAUGGUAAACUCUAAACUCCAAAUUCUUGCAGACAAACAAAAUAAAGUGAUGUUAAGGUAAUGCAUUUGAUUUCCCGCCCGGAAAAAACACACACAUACCAGCAGAAAAAAUGCUAAUAAACGAAAAAGAAAUUAGCAAGAUUAAAUCUCGCCGUCAAUGGGAGAAAAUAAAAUAGAAGAAGAGAGAAGAAAGUGUUUAGAAGAUCUAAGGUUUCUGAAGAAGUAGCGCAAGAGGAAGAAGUGGGUGGGUGAGAAGAGAAUUAGUUUAGAUUAGUGGUAG